UUUCUUCCAGAAGCAAUUAAUUUCAUAAGUAGAGGUACCACUGUCGUUGUCUUCCCACAUUGCUGUGUACACUUGUGAUGCAUCGCACGGGCAACUGCAUUGUCCACUAUGCGAUUGAAGCGGUCGAGGAGUGUCGCCGGUCCCAAUUCAAGUGUACGUGACUGUCAUUUGCAGAAUGAACACCACUGUAACCUGCAAUCGGAAACAUUCUUUCAUACCCAGUGGCGAGCAAGGCCUUCCCUGCUGGCCUAAACGCUAUCGAGAGCACCGACCUACAUUUCCGACCUAAAUUUUCCCAUUUCUUCAGUGAUAUUUGAUGGAACUGAAUUCAUUCCCAACCCUCUUUUCUCUUAGUUGGGUCGCAUUUUUCUUGGCCGAGUAUGAUGCAUCGUAUUUGAAUGCUUACGUUUUGUCAUGUUAUAAGAUGAAUACAUAUAUAUUUUUUUUUAUCUGCCAUUUUUCUGGUAUGUGGUGACAUUAUGGAAUUGAAGUCGCGCCUUUUUGUCUUUUGAUGGGUGUGCUGUCCACUUUUUAGAUGCCAGUUGUAAAAAAAAAAAAGUCACACGGUGUGGGUUUUCAAGUUUAGCGGUCCAGAGUUCAUUAGAAUGUAGAUGUAAACUUAACGCACCUUUUGCAAGCGUUAUCUUUUUCAGACCUUAAUGUGGUGAGUCUCUCUCAGCAACCGUACGGGAGAGUUAAAGCGCUGUUCUGUGCCUUUGUAAUGUAAUUUUUUUAAAAGUGUAUUGAAGCAAAGGCCUCUAUUUUUGUCAGCUGGACUGCAUUUUUCUCACUUCUCCCUCCUCCUCAGUGUGUGGGCUGCCAGCAAUAUCUUGGAAAAACAGACACCGGAGUACAGAUUCGGGUCCGAAACAAGAAGCCAUACUGUGAGCCCUGUUAUUUCCAACUAAAAUCAACCACUUCCCCAAGCGUGUGACGAGAACAAAGAACUCACGCUUGCAGAACAAGCC